UACGUAGGGGGCUAGCGUUGUCCGGAAUCAUUGGGCGUAAAGCGCGUGUAGGCGGCCCGGUAAGUCCGCUGUGAAAGUCGGGGGCUCAACCCUCGGAUGCCGGUGGAUACUGUCGGGCUCGAGUACGGAAGAGGCGAGUGGAAUUCCUGGUGUAGCGGUGAAAUGCGUAGAUAUUGGGAGGAACACCAGUGGCGAAGGCGGCUCACUGGACCGGUACUGACGCUGAGGAGCGAAAGCGUGGGGAGCGAACAGG
rnacentral:rRNA from 1 species